CAACCAUGAAAAGGUAGACUCUCUCUCUCAGUUAUACACAUCAACAACCAUGAAAAGGUAGACUCUCUCUCUCCCUCAGUUAUACACAUCAACAACCAUGAAAAGGUAGACUCUCUCUCUCAGUUAUACACAUCAAUAACCAUGAAAAGGUAGACUCUCUCUCUCAGUUAUACACAUCAACAACCAUGAAAAGGUAGACUCUCUCUCUCCCUCAGUUAUACACAUCAAUAACCAUGAAAAGGUAGACUCUCUCUCUCCCUCAGUUAUACACAUCAACAACCAUGAAAAGGUAGACUCUCUCUCUCCCUCAGUUAUACACAUCAACAACCAUGAAAAGGUAGACUCUCUCUCUCAGUUAUACACAUCAACAACCAUGAAAAGGUAGACUCUCUCUCUCCUUCAGUUAUACACAUCAACAACCAUGAAAAGGUAGACUCUCUCUCUCCUUCAGUUAUACACAUCAAC
rnacentral:lncRNA from 1 species